CCUACGGGUGGCAGCAGUCGAGAAUCAUUCACAAUGGGGGAAACCCUGAUGGUGCGACGCCGCGUGGGGGAAUGAAGGUCUUCGGAUUGUAAACCCCUGUCAUGUGGGAGCAAAUUAAAAAGAUAGUACCACAAGAGGAAGAGACGGCUAACUCUGUGCCAGCAGCCGCGGUAAUACAGAGGUCUCAAGCGUUGUUCGGAAUCACUGGGCGUAAGGCGUGCGUAGGCUGUUUCGUAAGUCGUGUGUGAAAGGCGCGGGCUCAACCCGCGGACGGCACUUGAUACUGCGAGACUAGAGUAAUGGAGGGGGAACCGGAAUUCUCGGUGUAGCAGUGAAAUGCGUAGAUAUCGGGAGGAACACUCGGGGCGAAGGCGGGUUCCUGGACAUUAACUGACGCUGAGGCACGAAGGCCAGGGGAGCGAAAGGGAUUAGAUACCCCAGUAGUC
rnacentral:rRNA from 1 species